CAGUCGGACGGGAUUGGGACCAGAGCUUGCUCUGGUUCCAUGAGAGUGGCGCACGGGUGCGUAACGCGUGAGCAACCUACCUCUAUCAGGGGGAUAGCCUCUCGAAAGAGAGAUUAACACCGCAUAAUAUAAUUUUCCGGCAUCGUGAAAUUAUUAAAUAUUUAUAGGAUAGAGAUGGGCUCGCGUGACAUUAGCUAGUUGGUAGGGUAACGGCUUACCAAGGCGACGAUGUCUAGGGGCUCUGAGAGGAGAAUCCCCCACACUGGUACUGAGACACGGACCAGACUCCUACGGGAGGCAGCAGUAAGGAAUAUUGGUCAAUGGGCGGAAGCCUGAACCAGCCAUGCCGCGUGCAGGAUGACUGCCCUAUGGGUUGUAAACUGCUUUUGUCCAGGAAUAAACCUAAAUACGUGUAUUUAGCUGAAUGUACUGGAAGAAUAAGGAUCGGCUAACUCCGUGCCAGCAGCCGCGGUAAUACGGAGGAUCCGAGCGUUAUCCGGAUUUAUUGGGUUUAAAGGGUGCGUAGGCGGCCUAUUAAGUCAGGGGUGAAAUACGGUGGCUCAACCAUCGCAGUGCCUUUGAUACUGAUGGGCUUGAAUCCAUUUGAAGUGGGCGGAAUAAGACAAGUAGCGGUGAAAUGCAUAGAUAUGUCUUAGAACUCCGAUUGCGAAGGCAGCUCACUAAGCUGGUAUUGACGCUGAUGCACGAAAGCGUGGGGAUCGAACAGGAUUAGAUACCCUG
rnacentral:rRNA from 1 species